rnacentral:rRNA from 1 species
UACGGAGGGUACGAGCGUUGUCCGGAAUCACUGGGCGUAAAGGGCGUGUAGGCGGUCAAGUAAGUGGAAUGUGAAAGCCCCCGGCUUACCCGGGGAUCUGCAUCCCAAACUGCUUGGCUUGAGUAUGGGAGAGGAUGGAGGAAUUCCUGGUGUAGCGGUGAAAUGACGUAGAUAUCAGGAGGAACACCGGUGGCGAAGGCGUCCAUCUGGCCCAAUACUGACGCUGAGGCGCGAAAGCUAGGGGAGCGAACGGG